GAAAAAGUGGAGUGGAAGAACAGUUUUUAUUUCCUUUCUUGCCUCUGGUCAUCUCCUUUUCAGGCUGGCGUUCUUCAAAUGGAGAUUUUCCUGCAUUAUCAGAAUGCUCACCAUUGUUCGGGAGCUUCAUAUCUUCUAUCGAGGAGUUGUAAAAUUGGAGCUGCUUCCUUGGAGCUGACUGCAUUCUCACAUCGCCCGAUAAAGCUCCACGCCUAGAUAUCUGAAACAAGCUCACAGAAGAGAGAAAGAUUUGUAAAUUUAUUUGUAUGUACAAAAGGUCAAGUUUCUGGAACUUCAUUCUAUGGCCCAAAAAUCAUGUAUAAACUGGAACCAUUAAAAGACGAGUCUUCAAUGCAUCAAUGGAAAUACCAAAUGGAAAUCUACAAA